AGAUUGCUUGAGUUGGAAGUUCAACGAAAAUUAAAGGCUCAAGUCAUGGAGUGAGUUUUCGAUAAAUUGAGGCAAGUGGAUUUCUAAAUUCUUGUUAAGUGUAUGAAAUGCGUGUAUGUCCUUGUGGUAUAUGUUGGGAGUAACGGGAUUGGUGAUGGGUUGACUUGUCCACAUUGAUUUAUUUUAAUAAUGAAAAGAAUGGGGAUAACAAAAGACAAUGUGAUUAAUUGUUUAUGUCUGUUGUGUUGAGAAAGGGUUGAAGGCUUGUUGAAUCAUUGUUGAUGUAACUUCAUGUUUGUGUGGUUGUGAACUGUGUGAUGUUAUGAAAAUGGUCAUCUCCUCAUUAUAUGUGUGAACUUGUCAUCUGCAUUAUUCUGAGGCAUUUGUUGUGACAAGUGUUAUGUGCAUUAAGAAAGAAUGGGUACUUAAGAGGAUGUACCAUUUCGAGGGACGUAUCGCGCGCCGCGAUGGAUACUAUAUUUCGAGGGACAUAUCGUGCGCCGCGAUGGUUACUAUUAUCGAGGGUCGUGUCGUGCGCCGCGACAGAUGCAUGGACAGAUAUGUCCCCAUGGGUCCCGGACUAAGAGACAGCGGGUGUGUAUCACUAGGUCAGACAUGCAUCAUUAUACUUGACAUUGCAUUCCAUUGCAUUGCACAUACUUAUCAUUAGUGAACUUAAUAUCGUAUUUUACCGAUCUUCUGAUUGCCUUUCUGCGGAACUUGUGAUUGAUUAAUAUUGAGCUUCUUAUUGCGGAUAUGUAAUUUGUUGAAGUAUUCUUGUUGAGGAUAUGUAAUUUGUUGAAGUGUUGUUGUUGAGGAUAUGUAAUUUGUCUAAGUGUUGUUAUUGAGCUACGUGCUAUGUAAACUGUGAGCUGUUAGGUUUGGUUGAUUUUAAUGCAGGUUGUAGUUGUGGAGGUUUUGUUGGGGGUGUUAGGAGUACUCGUAUUUUUAUCCUCUUAGCUUGUGUUUAGACGUUUUACUUGCUGAGUACCGUGUGGUUUGAUACUCACCCCUUGCUUCUACAAAUUUUUGUAGGUUACUAGCCCGGACUUUUAUGAUAUAUUCUCUUCUUUUCCGAGGCUUCCUGGAGAUUUUGUGAGGUAGUUAUUGGUCAUCUCAGCAUCCCUCCUUACUCUUGUUUAUGAUUUUGUUCUACUCUAGAAACAAUAUCAUAUGAGACUUAUAUUUUCUUUUGAUCCGAUUGUAAUACUUUAGAGGCUUGUACACGUGACAACCAGGUUUUGGGGUAUAAUGUAAGUUGAUAGUAAAUUUUCCGCAUUUUUAUUGUAAUAGUUGAGUUUUAGGCUUACUUGUCUUGGUGGGAUAAGACGAGUGUCAUCACGUCCAUUUGUGGGUCGUGACAAAAUCAUAAUAUAUGUACACUGUUAUAAAAUACUGCCUCCGUUUUAAAAAGAAUAACCUCCUUUCCUUUUUAGUCCACUUUAAAAUAACUUUUUUUUUGUAACAUUUUAAAAUAAGUUUUUCACGUGGCAUGUUUAAGGCCACAAGAUCAAAGGACAAUUUUGUACAUUUAACAUAACUUUAAUUUAGGACCAUAAGAUACAAGAAUCUUCUUUAUACUCUUAAACUCCGUGCCAAGACUAAUCAGGUCAUUCUUUGUGAAACAGAGGGAGUAACUAGCAGAACAAACUAAAAUUAAUUAUAAGAAGAAUAAAUAAAGAGAGCAUAAUAUACAUUAAAUUUUUCUUACCUCUUGCUUUGUGAAUGAAAACAAUAAUUAUUUAUAGCUAAAUGGGAAAUAUAUAAACUAACAUUUUGACC
rnacentral:lncRNA from 1 species